ACGGCCAUACCCUACUGAAAACACCGGUUCUCGUCCGAUCACCGAAGUUAAGCAUCAUCGGCGGUGGUCAGUACUUGGGAGGUUGACCAUCUGGUAAGAACGCAUGCCGUC